CACAAACAAACACAGCCAUGUGUGAAUAUGUCUCAAUUAAAUGUUGCUUCUUUUAACACAAUUACAAUCAGAGAUACUCUCUCAGGCUGACUCCUCAAGAAUGAGAGUUGAAUUAGUAGUUUCCUGGUCAAAGACCACGCUUCGUUAGAAUUCUAUUCCCCUAUGUGGACACUUGAAAUGACCUCCGGUCCAAUAACUCUGUAUUGAAUAGUGACAACCUGGCUAUGUGAGGAGAAAAAGGGAGUCAAAUAUGAGGUCAAAGUAGCGAUAGCGAAACUAGGUAAAAGUAUAUAGUGAAGUUAAUCAUGAAAAAGAGAGGUUGAGAUUAGAAGCUUCAGGAGGAAGGAUAAGUUGUUUUGCAAGGAAAUGAAUGGUUUGGGUGUCUUUUUACCCAGGGCACUUCAUACGACAGCAAUCCCUGCCACCAGGGUUCACAAAGUAAUUCAGGCAGCAGUAGCAGUGCUUGUGGUCAGAGUUCAUCCAAUUGUGCAGGCAGCAAGACUAUCGUUGCCCGGGAUACAGUUCAUGCUCUAAGCAGAAGCAGUUAUAAUGGACAGGGUGGAGCAUUUAUCUCAUUCAACAAUGCUUCCAAUAGCCAGGGAUUACCUUCAGGAGAAAAUCAGUCUGGUGGAGAUGGCUCACCUUCCUCAGAAGAUGGAUACAGAAGCUCUGCUGGGAAACAGAACAGCCCUGCCCUUUUGCUGCUAUUCAGUGUUUUGAGUGCCUUUGCCAUCUCUUCUUCAGUUGUGCCCAAGUGAACAUGUGAAGAUGUGACUGGAGACCACAAAGUGUAUUCUGUAAUAACAGAUUAAUUUUCUGUAUAAAAUUCUAGUCAACAUUGAAUAUAUAAUUUGUUGGUUUGUUGUAAUGUCAUUAUGUAUGGUUAAUAUGCCACGCUUUUGAUUAGUUCUACCUUUUUUAGUUUACAGUAUAUGCUGGUUUAUUUUUCAGUAUUUUAGACAUCACUUGAAAAGGAGAUAUUGUGCCCUAACUAUAUGAAUUUUUAUUUCUAACUGAUGUGAUGAAUACUUGAUUUGAAUCUGAUCUAGUUGUAAAUCCAUCACUCAGAUAUCUGGAACCACAUAGCUAUUAACCGGGGUGGGGGGAAUUGCAGAUUGUCAUGUUUGAAAGCUGAAGGCUCUCACUCGUCAUUACAUAAAAUAAAGCCAAUCCUGUAAUUUGUAUAAAAAGGCCUCAAUGGAACAGAAAAGCAGUGUUGGACUAUUACUCUUAAUCUAUUAUAGUAAUUAAACUAGAACAAAGUAUAAAUCUUGCAAUGCAGAAAUUUCUUAUUGCAGUGAAACUUUUGGAUAUUUCACCUCUUCCAUAAAAGGCCAUUGAAGGCAGACAUUCUGAUACUUAAAAUAGAACACCAUGUUUCUAGACCAGUGGUUUUUAACCUUUUUUCAUUUGCAGACCUCUAAAAAAAAUUUCAAAUUGGAGGUGUAGAUCCUUUGGAAAUCUUAGACAUAGUCUGUGGACCACAGGUUGAAAACCACAGAUCUGGACACACUCCACCUAAAGCUUUAGUAGAGAGUGUAGCCCAGAAGAGGCUAUGGAAGGCUAAUAACCUUGGAACUGGUGAAAACCCACCCAACUCGGGGAAUGUUUGAUAAUUACUCUGGCUACUGAAACUGCUAGUAUCUCUGUAUCAGUUCUCUUUCAGCAAGUAUUUUGCCUAAACUACGAGACCUGAUUUAUUGUCAAAUUUAAUCUCAAGAAUGAUAUUGAGAUCCAUAAAAUAGUAUUGCUGUGCAGCAGACAUAGUC